CAGCAGCCACGGGAAUACGGAGGGUGCAAGCGUUAAUCGGAAUUACUGGGCGUAAAGCGCACGCAGGCGGUCUGACAAGUCAGAUGUGAAAUCCCCGGGCUUAACCUGGGAACUGCAUUUGAAACUGUCAGGCUGGAGUCUUGUAGAGGGGGGUAGAAUUCCAGGUGUAGCGGUGAAAUGCGUAGAGAUCUGGAGGAAUACCGGUGGCGAAGGCGGCCCCCUGGACAAAGACUGACGCUCAGGUGCGAAAGCGUGGGGAGCAAACAGGAUUAGAUACCCGAGUAGUCCCUGUCUCUUAUAA
rnacentral:rRNA from 1 species